GAUUUUUCCACUGUGUUUUUGAAAUACAUUUUAAUUCUCAACAAUCAGAAUGUUCUACUUUGUGCAAUGAAAUAUUUUGAUGACUAAAGAGGAUAAAGUCAGUGUUUGGCAAGGACCAAGAAAGGAUGUAUUCAAGGGGAAGGAUAAAAAUAGACGGUUUGUGAGGCUGUCCAACUCUGGUCAGAGCCCCUUAAAGUAAGUGUCCUGGCUGUGGGAAGGAAAUUGGUAUUAGGCCUGGGGGAG
rnacentral:lncRNA from 1 species